rnacentral:lncRNA from 1 species
GUCUGAUUUCUUCUUUCUUUUAAAGGUGUUAGUGCUAGGUAUUUUUGACUAGUAAUUAUGAGGUGUUUUUUUUUUGUUGUUGUUGUUGUUUUUUUUUUCUCCUGUGAACGUUAUUUAUGUUCAAAACACUGGUCUGCUUUUUUCUUGUAAAGUUGAUAAAAAUUGUUGAAUUUUUCUUUUCACUAUAGGUUUUCCUCCUUGGAAGUUUAGCCUGUUAACUUUCAGGAAGUUUUGUACUCAGAUUCCCACAGUCAGUAUUCUGCCAGUGGUGGUGUUUCAUUUUGUUCAAAGAUAUAUAAAUUUUUCUUUUCCUUUUUCUAUAUUUCUUUUUUUUUUUUUUUCUCUUAGAGCCAUUGCUGCUGAGAUUGUUCUAAAGGGACAAAGAGAGGUAAGCCAUGGUUGAAUCUCAGAUGGGUCACUUUUAAAAAGUUUUUCUGUCUCUUUUGUUGACUUCUCAAUUUAAAAGAAUUAAAGCACAGAAGUUAACAUUUCAUGCACACUAAGAACCAAGUGGGGAAACAAAAGUAGUUAACAUUUUAAGAGUACCAAAUAUUCGGAAACUCCAAAACUCAGCAUAACCAUUUUGUCUCAGAUGUUAUUGUGAAUUACCAUUCUUUAAACAGAUGGAAUUAUGAAGGUGUUUUUCAUUAUAUUUUCUGAUGGAAUUGUGUGUAUAUCUAUCUUACAGGUCCACCGUUUAUAUCAGAGAGCCUUACAGAAGUUACCUCUUUGUGCAUCACUGUGGAAAGAUCAACUCUUGUUUGAAGCAUCAGAAGGAGGUAAAACUGAUAACCUGAGAAAACUAGUUUCCAAGUGCCAAGAGAUUGGAGUCAGCCUAAAUGAGCUCUUAAAUUUAAACAGUAACAAAACAGAAAGCAAGAAUCACUGAACACUGGGUGCAGUCAGUUCUAAGUCCUUAUAAUAAUUGCCAAAAUUAUUUGAAUGAUUCUUCAAGAUUAGGCUGAUCCCUGGCUAAGGUCUGUGUAAGGCAGACAAGCGUUAUUGAUCAUAUCAAGUUCCCUACAAUAUCCUGUCCUCAAAACCGGAAGCAAUGAACAUGAUCCUCUUCGGUUGGAUAAAUGAACUUCCUGUUUGGCCUGCUUCUAGGCCCUGCCAGAUUCUCAUAACAUCAUAUACGUAAGUAUAGUUCCUCAAAGUGACUGACAUUUAUUUUAAUUUUGCUUUGUUUUUUUUUAUUUUCUCCCCCAUUCCUUUAUUUUGUGUUAUUCCUGACUCACUUGACACUCUCUGAUGCCUGAGAGAUUCCUGUUUGGGAUUUAAUAUCCAGGGCUGUGUUUACAGUAAAAAAAGCAGGCAGUCCCUUUUAGUUUUUCCUUUUUAAAUUUUUUUGAGAUUCUUCAUUUCAGGAUUUAAAACUAUAGCAGUCCAUCUUAAGGAAAGUGUAACUGCCAUGGCCACAAGUCUGCUAGUUGCACUUGAAUGCUCUAUCAGGGUUGUUUAUUACCCUUUCUACGUUCUGGACUCCUUGCCGAGACUGUUUAACUUGAAGAUUAAAGAAACUAUUGCAAAUGCCAGUGCAUCAGAACCUAAGAGUGGUCAAAUAUUAUGUGCAAUUUUUUUGUAAAGAAAUUUUAAUUUAUAAUAAAGUUUAACAGUUUAAAGAACAGUUAAUAUUUGAACUGCUUUGUAUUGAAAUACUACUUUGUAGUAUUGAAAUUGUUUAUAUACUUUUUUAAUAUAAGUUAAC